GACGAACGCUGGCGGCGUGCUUAACACAUGCAAGUCGAACGGAAAGGCCCUGCUUGCAGGGUACUCGAGUGGCGAACGGGUGAGUAACACGUGGGUGAUCUGCCCUGCACUUCGGGAUAAGCUUGGGAAACUGGGUCUAAUACCGGAUAGGAACCAUCUUUAGUGUGGUGGUUGGAAAGUUUUUUCGGUGUAGGAUGAGCUCGCAGCCUAUCAGCUUGUUGGUGGGGUAAUGGCCUACCAAGGCGGCGACGGGUAGCCGGCCUGAGAGGGUGUACGGCCACAUUGGGACUGAGAUACGGCACAGACUCCUAAGGGAGGCAGAGGUGGGGAAUAUUGCACAAUGGGCGCAAGCCUGAUGCAGCGACGCCGCGUGGGGGAUGAAGCUCUUCGGGUUGUAAACUCCUUGCGUUAGGGACGAAGCUUUUUGUGACGGUACCUAGAUAAGAAGCACCGGCUAACUACGUG
rnacentral:rRNA from 1 species